rnacentral:rRNA from 1 species
CCUACGGGAGGCAGCAGUGGGGAAUUUUGGACAAUGGGCGCAAGCCUGAUCCAGCCAUGCCGCGUGUCUGAAGAAGGCCUUCGGGUUGUAAAGCACUUUUGGCGGGAACGAAAGGGACUGUGCCAAUACCACGGUUCGAUGACGGUACCCGCAGAAUAAGCACCGGCUAACUACGUGCCAGCAGCCGCGGUAAUACGUAGGGUGCAAGCGUUAAUCGGAAUUACUGGGCGUAAAGAGUGCGCAGGCGGUUUUGCAAGACCGAUGUGAAAUCCCCGGGCUUAACCUGGGAACUGCAUUGGUGACUGCAAGGCUAGAGUGUGUCAGAGGGAGGUGGAAUUCCGCAUGUAGCAGUGAAAUGCGUAGAUAUGCGGAGGAACACCGAUGGCGAAGGCAGCCUCCUGGGAUAACACUGACGCUCAUGCACGAAAGCGUGGGGAGCAAACAGGAUUAGAUACCCUGGUAGUCCACGCCCUAAACGAUGUCUACUAGUUGUCGGGGAUUAAUUUCCUUGGUAACGCAGCUAACGCGUGAAGUAGACCGCCUGGGGAGUACGGUCGCAAGAUUAAAACUCAAAGGAAUUGACGG